UACGGAAGGCAGCAGUGGGGAAUAUUGCACAAUGGGCGCAAGCCUGAUGCAGCCAUGCCGCGUGUAUGAAGAAGGCCUUCGGGUUGUAAAGUACUUUCAGUCGUGAGGAAGGUGUUAAGGUUAAUAACCUUAGCAAUUGACGUUAGCGACAGAAGAAGCACCGGCUAACUCCGUGCCAGCAGCCGCGGUAAUACGGAGGGUGCGAGCGUUAAUCGGAAUUACUGGGCGUAAAGGGCACGCAGGCGGUUAAUUAAGUUGGAUGUGAAAUCCCCGGGCUUAACCUGGGAAUGGCAUUCAAGACUGGUUAGCUAGAGUCUUGUAGAGGGGGUAGAAUUCCAUGUGUAGCGGUGAAAUGCGUAGAGAUGUGGAGGAAUACCGGUGGCGAAGGCGGCCCCUGGACAAAGACUGACGCUCAUGUGCGAAAGCGUGAGGGAGCAAACAGGGAUUAGAUACC
rnacentral:rRNA from 1 species